AAUUCUUGAACCAAGAAAAGUGGCUACAGAAGAGUAAGAUAUUCAUGAAGCUGAAAAUGAUAGUGUGAACUGAUGGCAAAGAAGAAUCAGCUGGCAGCUGCAGGCAACAAAUUGAACAAACAUGGGAACAGCUGCAG